GGAGAGGUGGCAGAGUGGCCGAAUGCGGCAGCUUGCUAAGCUGUUGUGUCCGGAAGCGGGCACCGAGGGUUCGAAUCCCUCCCUCUCCGCCA
rnacentral:tRNA from 1 species